ACAAUACUGACGCUGAGAUGCGAAGCGUGGGAGCAAACAGGAUUAGAUACCUGGUAGUCACGCUGUAAACGAUGUCGAUUUGGAGUUUGGGGGCAUGACCCUUGGGCUCCGGAGCUAACGCGUUAAAUCGACCGCUGGGGAGUACGGCCGCAAGGUUAAAACUCAAAUGAAUUGACGGGGGCCCGCACAAGCGGUGGAGCAUGUGGUUUAAUUCGAUGCAACGCGAAGAACCUUACCUGGUCUUGACAUCCAUAGAAUCUUUCAGAGAUGAGAGAGUGCCUUCGGGAGCUAUGAGACAGGUGCUGCAUGGCUGUCGUCAGCUCGUGUUGUGAAAUGUUGGGUUAAGUCCCGCAACGAGCGCAACCCCUAUCCUUUGUUGCCAGCACGUAAUGGUGGGAACUCAAAGGAGACUGCCGUUGAUAAAGCGGAGGAAGGUGGGGACGACGUCAAGUCAUCAUGGCCCUUACGACCAGGGCUACACACGUGCUACAAUGGCGUAUACAAAGGGAUGCGAAGGUGCGAACUGGAGCGGACCUCACAAAGUACGUCUAAGUCCGGAUUGGAGUCUGCAACUCGACUCCAUGAAGUCGGAAUCGCUAGUAAUCGUGAAUCAGAAUGUCACGGUGAAUACGUCCCCGGGCCUUGUACACACCGCCCGUCACACCAUGGGAGUGGGUUGCACCAGAAGUAGAUAGCUUAACCUUCGGGAGGGCGUUUACCACGGUGUGGUUCAUGACUGGGGUGAAGUCGUAACAAGGUAACCA
rnacentral:rRNA from 1 species